AUCUGAGGAUGUCUGCAGGUUCUAUUGAAGCAGCACAUGUAUCCGAUCUCUACAGAUAUCUACACAGGACUGAUACAGAUCGAAAUGUCUGAGACUAUUGAGGUACUAGCUCUCUUGCAGAUCUCAUUCUUUUAGAUUUAGAUCUGAUCUUCUUCUUUGACUAUCGUAGAAGAAGAUUUGCAGGAACUGCUAUCGUGUAGCACUAGAGGAAUGCC
rnacentral:lncRNA from 1 species